CCAUUUCCUGGAACGCAGAAAAGUUUCCUGACCAUGGCUUAGGCUGUUGUUAUUAUCUGUGAUAGUGGCUAUUCAGCUCUCUUGUUCACAACGGGUGAAGGGGUGAACAGGUUCCAGAGGUCACCCUGGCUGACAUUAUGGUCUUAAAAUCUCCAGACUUCCUGGCCGGAGGCCAUGAGUUAGCUGUGGCAGCGGUGGGGCCUCCUCGUGGCUCCUCAGUAAACCUUGAGAUGAGGCGUGACUUCCCCUCAGAGCCCAUUUCCCGGUCUGCAAAAUCCAGCUAAAGAGGUUGCCCUGGGUGUGUAAUGGAGCCACAACAAAGUAUUUUGUCAGCCCAAGGAGCUACUCAGCUGCUUACGCAGAGGCGCAGGACCUCACAGAAGGCAUCUUCCACACACGGAGACAGACAAAACAAGCACCUGCGACGGGCUUUACAUCCUCAGAGGGCUGAGCUCCUAAAUGACUUUUCUUUCAAAGGGCUGCACGGCUCAAGUCAGAGAUUCAGACCACUGUUGUUCAGAGAUAGUGAAAGUGGCAUCACUGUUUGUCACACAGACUACCGACCACUCUGGCCCACCUGUUUCUCCAUCAAUAUACACAUUGUUCUAACAACUGGUUCUCCAUCACAUAUAUGACUGAAAAUGACCAAAUAUCUUCAAACAAAUACAAAGAGUACACAAUGACUUACUUUACCAGAUCCGCCUCAUAUCUGCCUUGUCCUUCUGCCCGUGAGACCCAGGAAUCCAUGGAAAUGAUGGACAGAUAAUGUUUUCUGUCAAACACGUGAGAAAUAUUCUCCUAGGAAAGACUGUAUUAGAAAUGACAGAUUGAAUGGUGACUGUCGUCAACACCGUUGACUAUUAAAAUGACCCAUCUCAUGAAAAACAAAAGAAUAAAGCUCCUGGCUAAAUGAACAAAAUGUAACAGUUCUAUGUUUGUAACCUGGUCCUGUUUAUCAUUCCUCAUCUCUUCAAAUCAACUGAAUAUGACAGAGGCAAAAGUUAGCCAAGGGAACAAUAGCUUUUAACUCUGAUUUCACUUUGAUGUGUUUGUUCACCAACCAGGAGCCCUGGGGGUUAACCUUUCUCUUGUAGUCAUUGAUCCUUUAAGAUCUGAAGGCUUUUAAUAAAAUUGAGCUGACCAAGG
rnacentral:lncRNA from 10 species